ACGGGGUGCAGCAGGCGCGAAACCUCCGCAAUACACGAAAGUGUGACGGGGUUACCCAAAGUGUUCUAUUUAGAACUGUGGUAGGUGAGUAAUGUUCCCUACUAGAAAGGAGAGGGCAAGGCUGGUGCCAGCCGCCGCGGUAAAACCAGCUCUUCAAGUGGUCGGGAUAAUUAUUGGGCUUAAAGUGUCCGUAGCCGGUUUAGUAAGUUCCUGGUAAAAUCGGGUAGCUUAACUAUCUAUAUGCUAGGAAUGCUGCUAUACUAGAGGGCGGGAGAGGUCUGAGGUACUACAGGGGUAGGGGUGAAAUCUUAUAAUCCUUGUAGGACCACCAGUGGCGAAGGCGUCAGACUGGAACGCGCCUGACGGUGAGGGACGAAAGCCAGGGGAGCGAACCGGAUUAGAUACCCGGGUAGUCCUGGCCGUAAACGAUGCAUACUAGGUGAUGGCACGGCCAUGAGCCGUGUCAGUGCCGUAGGGAAACCGUUAAGUGUGCCGCCUGGGAAGUACGGUCGCAAGGCUAAAACUUAAAGGAAUUGGCGGGGGAGCACCACAAGGGGUGAAGCCUGCGGUUCAAUUGGACUCAACGCCGGAAAACUUACCAGGGGAGACAGCAGUAUGACGGUCAGGUUGACGACCUUACCUAACGAGCUGAGAGGAGGUGCAUGGCCGUCGCCAGUUCGUGCCGUGAGGUAUCCUGUUAAGUCAGGCAACGAACGAGAUCCGCACCUUUAUUUGCCACCAAGA
rnacentral:rRNA from 1 species